UCAGCUCGUACUCCUAUGCGGCAUUGUCACCAGAGCGGGGGCGGUGGGCCUGAGUCUGGGGGAGGUGGUGCAUGCAGGUGGCGGAUGGGAGGAGGACGUUGCACAAGCAGCGAGUCAGGUGGUGAAGCGCUACCUGGCUGGAUGUCACCUGGUGCUGGCCGCCCCUCGCCCCUCGCGUGCACUGCCUCACCUCAUCAGGCGUCUCUCUGAGGUGGGCGAGCUGGCAGUGUUCCUGCAGCCUUGCGGAGACGCCAAGCUGCUCCACGUUAGCACCAAAGAAAAAGUCUUCCCAGGGAAUGAUGGAGUGCCGUACUUUUGGCGCGAGGUGUGGGGGUCCAGCAAGGCCACGUGUCGCGCCUUCCUGCUUGACCACACCGCUUGCGGCACCGAUACAGCCGCCAGAUUGGUGUCGUGGUCUGGGUUGUGGCUGCAGCCCAGGACUCGGGUGGUUCUGAUUGGCAGUGGGGAGGACGUUAACGAGCUCUUCCAACACUCAGCUCUUCGCAAUUCUCUUCACGUCCUCUACAUCACACGUCGUUUUUUUACUUCAUACAAUGCGAGAAAGACGACAAAAAACAGUAAAUG